rnacentral:rRNA from 1 species
CAGGGAACUGAAACAUCUAAGUACCUGAAGGAAGAGAAAGAAAUUCGAUUCCGUAAGUAGCGGCGAGCGAACGCGGAUUAGCCCAAACCAAUAAAGUUUUCUUUAUUGGGGUUGCGGACAUAUCAUAACGAAGAGGUAUCGUAAUUGAAGAGGUUUGGAAAGACCCACCACAGAAGGUAAUAGUCCUGUAUGUUAAACGAGAAGACUUUAGAUAUGAUCCAGAGUACCACGGGACACGUGAAACCCUGUGGGAAGCAGGAGGGACCACCCUCCAAGGCUAAAUACUACCUAGUGACCGAUAGCGUAUAGUACCGUGAGGGAAAGGUGAAAAGAACCCCGGGAGGGGAGUGAAAUAGAACCUGAAACCCUGCACUUACAAGCUGUGGAAGCACAUUUCUUGUGUGACCGCGUACUUUUUGUAGAACGGGCCAACGAGUUACGUUAAGUAGCAAGGUUAAGCACUUAAGGUGCGGAGCCGUAGCGAAAGCGAGUUUUAACUGAGCGUUCAGUUACUUGACGUAGACCCGAAACCGGGCGACCUACCCAUGAGCAGGAUGAAGCGAAAGUAAAAUUUCGUGGAGGUCCGAACCCACGAGCGUUGAAAAGCUCGGGGAUGACUUGUGGGUAGCGGUGAAAUUCCAAUCGAGCCCGGAGAUAGCUGGUUCUCCCCGAAAUAGCUUUAGGGCUAGCCUCAAGGUGAGAGAUACGGAGGUAGAGCACUGAAUGUCCUAGGGGGUAUUGCACCUACCGAAGACUAUCAAACUCCGAAUGCCGUCAUCUUAUACUUGGGAGUCAGACUGUGGGUGAUAAGAUUCAUAGUCGAAAGGGCAACAGCCCAGAUCGUCAGCUAAGGUCCCUAAAUGUAAGUUAAGUGGUAAAGGAUGUGGGAUUGCACAGACAACCAGGAUGUUGGCUUAGAAGCAGCCACUCAUUCAAAGAGUGCGUAAUAGCUCACUGGUCGAGUGAUCCUGCGCCGAAGAUUUCCGGGGCUAAAACUUACUACCGAAGCUACGGCAUCAGUAAUGAUGGGUAGGGGAGCUUCCCAUACGGGUUGAAGCAUGACCGUAAGGACAUGUGGACAGUAUGGGAGUGAGAAUGUUGGCAUGAGUAGCGAGAUGUGGGUGAGAAUCCCACAGGCCGUAAACCCAAGGUUUCCAGGGGAAGGUUCGUCCGCCCUGGGUUAGUCGGGACCUAAGCUGAGGCCGAAAGGCGUAGGUGAUGGACAACAGGUUGAUAUUCCUGUACUACCGAUAACCGUUUGAGAGAAGGGAUGACACAGUAGGAUAAGCUAAGCACACUGUUGGUUAUGUGUGCCCAAGCAUUGAGGCAGUCAAAGUAGGCAAAUCCGCUUUGAUAAUGCUGGGAUGUGAUGGGGAGCGAAAUUUAGUAGCGAAGUAGCUGAUUUCACACUGUCAAGAAAAGUCUCUAUCGAGGUUAAAGGUACCCGUACCGCAAACCGACACAGGUGGGUGAGGAGAGUAUCCUAAGGCCAGCGAGAGAACUGUUGUUAAGGAACUCGGCAAAAUGACCCCGUAACUUAGGGAUAAGGGGUGCCACCAUCAGGUGGCCGCAGAGAAUAGGCCCAAGCGACUGUUUACCAAAAACAUAGGUUUCUGCUAAGUCGCAAGACGAUGUAUAGGAGCUGACGCCUGCCCGGUGCUGGAAGGUUAAGGGGAUCUGUUAGAGCAAUCGAAGCAGUGAACUUAAGCCCCAGUAAACGGCGGCCGUAACUAUAACGGUCCUAAGGUAGCGAAAUUCCUUGUCGGGUAAGUUCCGACCCGCACGAAAGGCGUAACGAUUUGGGCACUGUCUCAACAACAGACUCGGUGAAAUUGUAAUUCCGGUGAAGAUGCCGGAUACCUGCGACAGGACGGAAAGACCCCAUGGAGCUUUACUGUAGCUUGACAUUGGGUCUUGGUACUACAUGUACAGGAUAGGUGGGAGGCUUUGAAACCAGGACGCCAGUUUUGGCGGAGCCAUCCUUGGGAUACCACCCUUGUAGUACUGGGACUCUAACCAUAGGCCAUGAAUCUGGUCUUGGGACACUGUCAGGUGGGCAGUUUGACUGGGGCGGUCGCCUCCCAAAAGGUAACGGAGGCGCUCAAAGGUUCUCUCAGUACGGUCGGAAAUCGUACGUAGAGUGUAAAGGCAAAAGAGAGCUUGAUUGCAAGACAUACAGGUCGAGCAAGGAUGAAAAUCGGACUUAGUGAUCCGGUGGUUCUGCGUGGAAGGGCCAUCGCUCAACGGAUAAAAGCUACCCUGGGGAUAACAGGCUUAUCUCCCCCAAGAGUCCACAUCGACGGGGAGGUUUGGCACCUCGAUGUCGGCUCAUCACAUCCUGGGGCUGUAGUAGGUCCCAAGGGUUGGGCUGUUCGCCCAUUAAAGUGGUACGCGAGCUGGGUUCAGAACGUCGUGAGACAGUUCGGUCCCUAUCCGUCGCAGGCGUAGGAAAUUUGAGAAGACCUGUCCUUAGUACGAGAGGACCGGGAUGGACGUACCUCUGGUGUACCAGUUGUCCUGCCAAGGGCAUGGCUGGGUAGCUAUGUACGGAAUGGAUAAGCGCUGAAAGCAUCUAAGCGCGAAGCCAACUUCAAGAUAAGAUUUCCCACCGCAAGGGUAAGACCCCAGAAAGACUAUCUGGUUGAUAGGUCGAAGGUGUAAGUGCAGCAAUGUAUUUAGCUUAUCGAUACUAAUAGGUCGAGGACUUGACCAA